AAUGGUCGGUACAGAGGGUUGCCAAGCCGCGAGGUGGAGCUAAUCCCAGAAAACCGAUCGUAGUCCGGAUCGCAGUCUGCAACUCGACUGCGUGAAGUCGGAAUCGCUAGUAAUCGCGAAUCAGAAUGUCGCGGUGAAUACGUUCCCGGCCUUGUACACACCGCCCGUCACACCAUGGGAGUGGGUUGCACCAGAAGUAGCUAGUCUAACCUUCGGGAGGACGGUUACCACGGUGUGAUUCAUGACUGGGGUGAAGUCGUAACAAGGUAGCCGUAGGGGAACCUGCGGCUGGAUCACCUCCUUAAU
rnacentral:rRNA from 1 species